GAUGAUAAAUCUCCACUAAUUAACUUGAAUCAGAAAAACAAAGAUGGAAGGCUGCUCGGUUUUCAAGAUUGAAGAAACCAGCAUUAAAGAAAUCCACCAAGCAUUUGCUCAAGGCAAACUCACCGCAAGAAAACUAGUCGACUUUUACCUUCACCAAAUCGAAACCCUAAAUCCGCUGCUUCGUGGGAUUAUUGAGGUGAACCCGGAGGCCCAAAAUCUAGCUGAUGAGGCUAACAGAAACAGAGUUAACAGUACUGAAACUGGAAGUUUUUUAGGGGAGUUACAUGGAAUCCCUGUGCUUCUUAAGGAUACAUUUGGGACAAAGGAUGAGUUGAAUACUACUGCGGGUUCAUAUGCUCUGCUGGGAUCUCAAGUGCCGCGAGAUGCUGGAGUGGUGGAGAAAUUGAGAAAAGCAGGUGCUAUUAUUUUGGGAAAAGCAAGUAUGAGUGAAUGGUACAAGUUUCGUUCUCUCAGUGGAGUUCCUAAUGGAUGGUGUGCUCGAUCUGGACAAGGAGUGAAUCCUUAUUGCCCGUCUGGAUCACCAUGUGGAUCAAGUAGUGGCUGUGCAAUAUCUGUUACUGCAAAUAUGGCAGCAGUCUCUCUUGGGACUGAAACUCACUGCUCCAUCAUCUGUCCAGCGGAUCAUAACUCAGUUGUAGGGCUGAAACCUACUGUUGGGCUCACAAGUCGGGCUGGGAUCAUACCAAUGACUCCCCUCUGGGACACUGUUGGGCCUAUAUGCAGGAAUGUUACAGAUGCAGUUUACAUGCUUGAUUGUAAUUGUUGGAUCAGAUCCAAGAGAUGAAGUCACCGCGGAAACAGCUAAAUAUAUUCCUGAGGGUGGCUACAAACAGUUUCUCGUGGAAGAUGGUCUAAAAGGGAAGCGAAUAGGCAUUGUCAGACACCCAUUUGUGGAAAUGAUACAUGGAGCACUCGAAAAAUCAGCUUUUGAGCAUCACCUAGAUUUGUUAAGGCAAGAAGGAGCAAUUCUGGUAGACAACCUGAGCAUACCACAUAUUGAAGAGAUAAUGGAUUCAAAUCAUAGCGGUGAAGCUUUGGUGAUGAUGGUUGAAUUCAAGAGCUCGAUCAAUGCUUACCUGAAAGAGUUGGUCACUUCUCCUGUCAGGUCAUUGGCCGACAUUAUUGCUUUUAAUGAACGCAACUCUGAGUUGGAAAAACUUGCUGAGUUUGACCAACAUACUUUUAUAGAAGCCGAGAAGACAGACGGAUAUGGAGAAGAAGAGAAGAAAGUUGUGGAGAAGUUGAAAAACUUUUCACAAAAUGGAUUUGAGAAAAUGAUGAACCACCAUGAGCUUGAUGCAAUGGUCGUGCCUGGUUCACGUGCCUCUCCCGUUUUUGCAAUAGGUGGCUACCCAGUAAUAACCAUUCCAGCCGGGUAUGAAAGUGAUGGCAUGCCAUUUGGCAUCUGUUUUGGAGGUUUGAAGGGUUCUGAACCAAAGCUGAUUGAAAUUGCCUAUGCCUUUGAGCAAUCUAGCAAAGUUCGACGACCUCCUUCUGUAAUUUAAUAUUGCUUUACCCUGAAGAUUGAGUAUAUUUGG